UUAAGUUAUUAAGGGCGCACGGUGGAUGCCUUGGCACUAGAAGCCGAUGAAGGACGUUACUAACGACGAUAUGCUUUGGGGAGCUGUAAGUAAGCUUUGAUCCAGAGAUUUCCGAAUGGGGAAACCCAGCAUGAGUUAUGUCAUGUUAUCGAUAUGUGAAUACAUAGCAUAUCAGAAGGCACACCCGGAGAACUGAAACAUCUUAGUACCCGGAGGAAGAGAAAGAAAAUUCGAUUCCCUUAGUAGCGGCGAGCGAAACGGGAAGAGCCCAAACCAAAAAGCUUGCUUGUUGGGGUUGUAGGACACUCUAUACGGAGUUACAAAGGACGACAUUAGACGAAUCAUCUGGAAAGAUGAAUCAAAGAAGGUAAUAAUCCUGUAGUCGAAAAUGUUGUCUCUCUUGAGUGGAUCCUGAGUACGACGGAGCACGUGAAAUUCCGUCGGAAUCUGGGAGGACCAUCUCCUAAGGCUAAAUACUCUCUAGUGACCGAUAGUGAACCAGUACCGUGAGGGAAAGGUGAAAAGCACCCCGGAAGGAGAGUGAAAUAGAACCUGAAACCGUGUGCUUACAAGUAGUCAGAGCCCGUUAAUGGGUGAUGGCGUGCCUUUUGUAGAAUGAACCGGCGAGUUACGAUUUGAUGCAAGGUUAAGCAGUAAAUGUGGAGCCGUAGCGAAAGCGAGUCUGAAUAGGGCGUUUAGUAUUUGGUCGUAGACCCGAAACCAGGUGAUCUACCCUUGGUCAGGUUGAAGUUCAGGUAACACUGAAUGGAGGACCGAACCGACUUACGUUGAAAAGUGAGCGGAUGAACUGAGGGUAGCGGAGAAAUUCCAAUCGAACCUGGAGAUAGCUGGUUCUCUCCGAAAUAGCUGUAGGGCUAGCCUCAAGUGAUGAUUAUUGGAGGUAGAGCACUGUUUGGACGAGGGGCCCCUCUCGGGUUACCGAAUUCAGACAAACUCCGAAUGCCAAUUAAUCUAACUUGGGAGUCAGAACAUGGGUGAUAAGGUCCGUGUUCGAAAGGGAAACAGCCCAGACCACCAGCUAAGGUCCCAAAAUAUAUGUUAAGUGGAAAAGGAUGUGGCGUUGCCCAGACAACUAGGAUGUUGGCUUAGAAGCAGCCAUCAUUUAAAGAGUGCGUAAUAGCUCACUAGUCGAGUGACACUGCGCCGAAAAUGUACCGGGGCUAAACAUAUUACCGAAGCUGUGGAUUGUCCUUUGGACAAUGGUAGGAGAGCGUUCUAAGGGCGUUGAAGCAUGAUCGUAAGGACAUGUGGAGCGCUUAGAAGUGAGAAUGCCGGUGUGAGUAGCGAAAGACGGGUGAGAAUCCCGUCCACCGAUUGACUAAGGUUUCCAGAGGAAGGCUCGUCCGCUCUGGGUUAGUCGGGUCCUAAGCUGAGGCCGACAGGCGUAGGCGAUGGAUAACAGGUUGAUAUUCCUGUACCACCUAUAAUCGUUUUAAUCGAUGGGGGGACGCAGUAGGAUAGGCGAAGCGUGCGAUUGGAUUGCACGUCUAAGCAGUAAGGCUGAGUAUUAGGCAAAUCCGGUACUCGUUAAGGCUGAGCUGUGAUGGGGAGAAGACAUUGAGUCUUCGAGUCGUUGAUUUCACACUGCCGAGAAAAGCCUCUAGAUAGAAAAUAGGUGCCCGUACCGCAAACCGACACAGGUAGUCAAGAUGAGAAUUCUAAGGUGAGCGAGCGAACUCUCGUUAAGGAACUCGGCAAAAUGACCCCGUAACUUCGGGAGAAGGGGUGCUCUUUAGGGUUAACGCCCAGAAGAGCCGCAGUGAAUAGGCCCAAGCGACUGUUUAUCAAAAACACAGGUCUCUGCUAAACCGUAAGGUGAUGUAUAGGGGCUGACGCCUGCCCGGUGCUGGAAGGUUAAGAGGAGUGGUUAGCUUCUGCGAAGCUACGAAUCGAAGCCCCAGUAAACGGCGGCCGUAACUAUAACGGUCCUAAGGUAGCGAAAUUCCUUGUCGGGUAAGUUCCGACCCGCACGAAAGGCGUAACGAUUUGGGCACUGUCUCAACGAGAGACUCGGUGAAAUCAUAGUACCUGUGAAGAUGCAGGUUACCCGCGACAGGACGGAAAGACCCCGUGGAGCUUUACUGUAGCCUGAUAUUGAAAUUCGGCACAGCUUGUACAGGAUAGGUAGGAGCCUUUGAAACGUGAGCGCUAGCUUACGUGGAGGCGCUGGUGGGAUACUACCCUAGCUGUGUUGGCUUUCUAACCCGCACCACUUAUCGUGGUGGGAGACAGUGUCAGGCGGGCAGUUUGACUGGGGCGGUCGCCUCCUAAAAGGUAACGGAGGCGCUCAAAGGUUCCCUCAGAAUGGUUGGAAAUCAUUCAUAGAGUGUAAAGGCAUAAGGGAGCUUGACUGCGAGACCUACAAGUCGAGCAGGGUCGAAAGACGGACUUAGUGAUCCGGUGGUUCCGCAUGGAAGGGCCAUCGCUCAACGGAUAAAAGCUACCCCGGGGAUAACAGGCUUAUCUCCCCCAAGAGUUCACAUCGACGGGGAGGUUUGGCACCUCGAUGUCGGCUCAUCGCAUCCUGGGGCUGUAGUCGGUCCCAAGGGUUGGGCUGUUCGCCCAUUAAAGCGGUACGCGAGCUGGGUUCAGAACGUCGUGAGACAGUUCGGUCCCUAUCCGUCGUGGGCGUAGGAAAUUUGAGAGGAGCUGUCCUUAGUACGAGAGGACCGGGAUGGACAUACCUCUGGUGUACCAGUUGUCGUGCCAACGGCAUAGCUGGGUAGCUAUGUGUGGACGGGAUAAGUGCUGAAAGCAUCUAAGCAUGAAGCCCCCCUCAAGAUGAGAUUUCCCAACUUCGGUUAUAAGAUCCCUCAAAGAUGAUGAGGUUAAUAGGUUCGAGGUGGAAGCAUGGUGACAUGUGGAGCUGACGAAUACUAAUCGAUCGAAGACUUAAUCAA
rnacentral:rRNA from 1 species